UUCAGAUCCUACUGCGUGAGAGACUGCCAGUGAUACCAGGUCAGCUGUUUCUACACAACACUCAGUUCGGCUACAUUGUUGCUGGCACUGCACCAUUGAACAGCGAGGGAUGUUCAUCACUACCAAGUAACUUUUGCAACUUUCCUAUUUUUUCGGGAAUACCGCCGCUGCCCCCGGGCCAUGCCUCUAUAAUGAGAAGAUCACCUGGGUGAAGAUGACGAUGCAACAUCGACAUGUCGAAGUACCCAGCGAAUGUGACGACAAAACUACUAAAUGGAUUUUGAUCAACAGACAACCUGGAUAGGCAACUUUUUAAAAAUCCUAGAAUCACUACCAGAAAACUUUUUAGCUCUAAGUUUUAUUUUAACAGUUACUAGAAAAUAAAACCGAGAGCAUGUUAAAUAAAACAAACCAACACCUAUCCCAAAAGAAAUGGUAGAAACAUAAUCAACAAAAUAUAUCAUACAGGUUACCAGAUAAGGCAAGUAAUAAUGAAAAAUAAUUUAUCUAUCUUUUAUCAUUGCAUGUUAUUGUUAUAAUGUAUUUCUACCUAUGGGUACAAUAGUGGGAGUAGCCUGUAUUUAUAGUUGGUGAACAAAUUGCUUGCUAAUGAUAAGGCACGGAAUUAAAAGGGACAGUCAGAAUUGAUGGAGCAUUUACAACGUAGGUAAACAAAUUCCUACACAUAUCUCAAGUCCUACAUAUUCAGAGACAGUCAUAUAAGAAAGGGAAUGACUGUUUAUAACCACAAUAGCCGAAACUGAUGUGGCAUUUCUCAAAAAUUAAACCGGGGGAAAUUACAAAGAUCUUAUCAAUGCUAUGUAAAAAUUGGAUAUUAUCUAUUAAGUUUUGUAUUGACUUACCUGUAAUUCUAUUGUACACAAGCACCAAAACAAAACCAAAAGCUAGUAACUUUUUACAAACACUCAGCACCAAAAACAGCACAACGAAACGAAGAGGCUCUUGUUAGCACUGACAGUUCCGUUCCGUUCGCAGGUCGAUCGACUCGAAUGCGAAUGCGCAAUGUUUUGACUAUGCGCAUUGACCUUCAUUAAUGCCAUGCGCACUAAUUAUUUCCAAUAUUGUAGUUUAAUAAUUGAAUUAGCAGAAUAUUUAACAAGACAGAAAUUAAAACCCUAAAGAAUACGUAUGUUUAUAAAAAUGAAAACAGCUGUAUUUAUUUUAACUCUUUGGACACAUGGCGCCAUCUGUUGCCGAGUAGCGGUAAUAAUAGCGACACCUGUUGUCGAGUAGUAGUAACAAUGAGUUAGUGCAGUGAGAGUGAAGUGAACGUAACAAUUAUAUUAUUUAUAUAUAUUUUAAUAUUUAUAGGUUCUAUUUAAGUUUAGGUUUAUUAGUAGAUCACAUUUUAUUCUGUUUUAUUUAAUAAAGUAUGCUCUUACUUAAAAGAGCUAUGAUAUAAUUCAA